GAGAAGAGGACAUAAAAAUCAAAUAGAGUUGGAGAAUUUGAUUAUUUCAUAUAAAAUUUCCAAUUGCAACGCAAAGGCGGCUCAUUUCAAAUGGUUCAGAACAAAAUCACAACAUAAUAUAUUUUUCCAAUAUGAUUAAUUGAGCAUGAAGUACCUAUCUGAAUAAGAAAAUCACUGCUUGUUCUGCCAAUAAUGCAGUAAUAUAUAUACAAAUUAUGCAGAAUUAGCCAGUAACACUUCAUCCUGUAUCAUGUAUAAAAAGAUUUUGUUUCUCACCAGUGAAGUUCACAUUGGACUUAACAAGAUAGAUAAUAGAUAAAAAAAUCCAACAACCAGCGGUAAGUAGCAUUGAGUUUCGCU
rnacentral:lncRNA from 1 species